AAGUGCAGCUGUUAAGCACUUUCUUCCGAGGUCUCGCCUUACAGUAUCAAAUGGCUCUUGAUACGGCGAGUGAAGGAAACUUCACUACUCGGAAUCCAUUAGAAGCUGUGAGACUUAUCGAAAACCUUGCUAACAGCAGCAGCACCAAAAACACUGACUCUGAACGAAUGAAGUCUGUAGCCCUGCAUCUCCAACACCUGAAUAGUGGCCCUGCAUCUAAUAUCAUUUCCAAUCAAGUUAAAUUUACUAUUUACUUCGCUUGUUACUAUUGCAAUUUCAUUUAAACAUUUACAACUCUUAGAAUUAAUAAACACUAGAUUUAAUUGUUCCCUAGCUCCUUGUGGAUUUGAUCCCUAAGUACUACAUCUGAACCUCUUUUGAUGAGAGUAACACUCCUUAGGGUAAUUUGAGUGGUAUCAGUCCUUGAAGAACCGCGGAAGAUGUUUGGGAUUUAUAGCUGCAUCCUUCAGGGGGGAUUGCCUACGUAUUCAAUGAGGGAUCAAGCCGUUCGUAGGUCAUGUAUUGGUGGAGGCACGGAGCCUAAGUGGGCACGUAGCCUAAUGGGCACUUGGCCUAAGGAGCACAUAGCUCUGAUGGAGGUGCGGAGCCUGGUUGGGCACGUGGCCUUGAUGGGCACAUGACCUUGGGAGCAUGUAGCUCUGUAGGAGAUAUGAGCCAUCUGUUCUAGGGGCGCAUGGCCAGAACAUAUGGUGGAGUAGUCGAUAUGCUGCAGGUAGCAUGGAUCUUCGAUAUGCUUUGAUGAGCAUGGAGUGUCACUGUCGGUGUGCUGGAGAUCGUGGCCUGGACCAGUAUGUGGAGUUGUAGGCGUGCUGUAGAGAGCAUAGGACGUCAUCUUCAUGGUAGUAAUCACCGGGAUCAGCCUGUCAUCGACCUCUCGUAGGAUAAGGUCUUCUCGGUGAAAUAUAGCCUUGGCGGCUGUUGAAUUCGUAUGCUCUGGAGUUGGAUGUUUUCUCCCAUAGAUGGACGUGUUCCUCUUCUUCUUAAGGUUUAGCAACCUAUCUUUAUAUUGGAGGUCGUGCCUCUCUCUUAGGGUUUGGAAAUAUUCCAUAUAUCCUUAGAUAAUAGAAUCUUUCCAUUCUUCUCAAGGGCGGCUUAUCAUAUUGGAAUACUUCCUCUUUCUCUUGGAUUUAGGAAGAUUCCUUCUUUUCUAAGCUGGUUACCUAAAAAAUGGAAGAUUUCCAUUUAUCUUAAGGCAGGAGAAAACACUUGGCCUGGAAGAUGGAGGAAGGGCCCAGACCUUGGGGCAGGGACCCAGGACCCAGAGGCAGGAACCCGGACCCUGGGGGCAGGGACCUGGAAGACUAAAGCUGGAGUAAUCUCUUCAUGGAAUAUUUUUCCCCAAUAGUUUGCUCCUUAUUUUCUGGCUUCAUGUUUGAAGGCAGGAAAUAACAUGACUUUCUUCAUAGGACUUUAUAAGUUGCAUUGUAGUAUCAUGCUGCCUUUGUUGAUCGUUCUCAGAUGUACUUGUGCUCGGUGUGAAAGGAUUUGUAGCAUGGUUGGAGGUGCAUGACCUUUGAUUCGGAUGACCUGGAAGUGGAGAAUCAGGAAGGACCACAAUGUAGGACCUAAUAAACGCUCUAAGGGUGGACAUUACCGUCGUGCGAGAUCAGAUCGAGCCUGUAGGACUUUCUUCUUCUCCUUUAUAAGGAUGAGACAUUACCCCUACGUUGGAGAUUUGCCGGAGUUGGCAGAAAGUUUGAUGAAGAAGCCAGGAAUGCCUACAUAAAGGGUGAUGCUUCUGCUCAUACCCAGGUGCUUGUGCUUCUCUUGUGGCUGUACUCGGCCUUAGUUCAGGCCUAACUUCAGUUUGUGUUUCUUGAGGCUCUCUGGCUCCACGAAUCGUGUGGAGGAGUGUAUGGGUCAGGACCCAGGAAUUCUAAGAGGGAGAAUCUUGGCGAGACUAAGGACCAGGGGGAUGAGUAGGUUUAGCAAGACCCAGAUGCCGAAACUGAGGAUUUUCAUGCUUGAUUCUAUCGGCCUUGCGUGUUCUUCUCGAGCUCGUAAAGGCUGUAAUGGACUUUCAAGGGGAUCUCCGUGCAAGUUUCCUUGCUGCGUUUAGCAUACUUGAUGCUCCUUGAGGUGUUGAUGUUGUAGCUGUAGCUUCUUGCAUCGUCCCAGGAUUGUACCUUGACUUUUGCAGAGGGGACGUUCAGCAUGUUCGUCUUGGUGCCUGGAGAUAACCUAGUUUAUUCUUGGUGUUGAACUGAAGAGGAGUUAGAGCUUGUACAUUAAUAGGGCAAGCUCUAGAAGAUGUCCAGAAGAGUUCCAUCAAGCUUCAGAAGUGUUCUGAAGUAUCUAUCUUGUGAAGUCAAGUCUAGGAGAGACUUAGACUGAUCAUGUGAAGUGUUUGGAGGAGUUAGAGAGAAGAUGGCCUCAGGUGCAAAGAUAGGGCAAAUCAAGAAGAGGAAUUGAUCAACCAAAGAGGAAGGAUAAGUGUUGUCAUAGUUAGGGCGAGUGUACGGACCAGACAGGCCGUACAUCGACCGUACAACACCCGAGCCUCAUCCAUUCAUCCGGUUAGCCAAAAGAAGAAGAAUGCAAGGUGUGGGCACGACAUGAUUCAAAUCAUGUGACCGUUGGAGUGAGAUGGAAGCAAAGGAAUAUACCUUAGGAUAAAUGUGGUCCAAGAGACAGGCUGGAAAGGGAAAGGUGCUUUACCUUUACAGCCUUAUCCCUACACUGAUCAAUCUUGGCUGCUCAUUCAAACUGAAGCAUCUAAGCCAUCCAUCAAGUCCAUACACGCCUCUCCUUUAUAGCUAGCACCAGAACAUCAAAGACCAUUCUUCUCUAAUCCAAGCCAUCCAAUCUAUCUUGCAUUUAUGUCCAUAGGAUCUAGGUUUAUUCUUUGAUACAUGUAAAGGCAUAUAUAAGCCUUAGAUGACAUUUUGUAACACUAAAGGGAGUAAGGGGGAUUUCCCCUCUCCACUUCAUGAAUGAUAAACUUGUUCUUGAAUCUGAAACCCUAAUCUCUAAUCUCUUGUUCUCCUAAUCUCUCAGUCUCUUAAUCUCUGUUCCUAAGUCUCUUAUUUUCUCAUAAAAACUCUCAUCAAUCUCUCCUUCUAAAUCACCUAGAGCAAGCUCUCAUCUUUAUCCAUUAGGAGUUUAUACACACACACAUACAACCAGAGAAGAGAACUCUACAAAUCUCAUAUGGUAUCAGAGCCAGGUUACUCAGAACCUGAGCUGUAGCUUCCGCAAAACACUUGCUCUCAUCUCAGCUCAAACCAAAGCCUAGAAGACAUGUUCAUUCGAGCUCAAAUUCUUCAAGAAGAAGAAGUGUGAAGCCGUGAAGUGUUCUCCUUGUCUCUCUGUAUCUACUGUCCAUCCUGAUGGUGAUUCUCCUUGGAAGCAAAGGUGUAUAGAAAGGCUUAGCAAACCUUCUUCAAAUCGCCUUGUUCAAGAAGUGUUCUCUCAUCCGGUGUCAAAAUGGUGUCCAAGAAGAUGGCGCCUAGAAGACAUGAAACAAUGAGGGGCCUUGAGUAUGAGAAACAAGAUGGUGGCCAUGAACUGAAGGAGAAGGAGGUGGGUGAUGAUCCAGACUCCCAGAUCCAACAAAAGUCAUGGCCGGUUUCACAAAAUGCAAAAGGAAUCAACAUGGUUCCUUGUUGUAAGCGAUUCUAUAAACCAUCUUGAUAAUGAGCUUGUGUUGUUGACUGGUUGUGAUGUUGUGAUGUGAUUGAAAACCUGAGGAUUGUUUAAAAGAUUACUAAAUGAAAUAAAAUGAAUUUAGAAUCUGUCCCAGGAUACUUAAAGAGCUUGGCUUCCUAGUAAUCCUAAAAUCUUACUAGUUAUACUAGGCUUACUAGCAGCAGUGUAAGCGCAUUUAAAAAUGUCUAGUAACUUAUCAGUAUUACUAGGAUUACUAGAUAUGUUAAUAUGCUUAGCUCUGGUUCAUAAUGAUGCUUGUUGUGAUUGAUUGAAUCUGCUUGCAUACAUGGAUUGAAACCGAAUUGAAAGCUAUUGCAUAUAGUCUUGUGGCUGUCUUACAUUGAAGCAUUAGAUUCAUGUCUAAAUGCUGAGUAAAAAAGCUUUAAAAAUGCCUAAGUCGCUUGCAUAAA